GACCAGACUCCUACGGGAGGCAGCAGUGGGGAAUAUUGCACAAUGGGGGAAACCCUGAUGCAGCGACGCCGCGUGAGUGAAGAAGUAUUUCGGUAUGUAAAGCUCUAUCAGCAGGGAAGAAAAUGACGGUACCUGACUAAGAAGCCCCGGCUAACUACGUGCCAGCAGCCGCGGUAAUACGUAGGGGGCAAGCGUUAUCCGGAUUUACUGGGUGUAAAGGGAGCGUAGACGGCAUGGCAAGUCAGAUGUGAAAGCCCGGGGCGCAACCCCGGGACUGCAUUUGAAACUGUCAGGCUGGAGUGCAGGAGAGGUAAGUGGAAUUCCUAGUGUAGCGGUGAAAUGCGUAGAUAUUAGGAGGAACACCAGUGGCGAGGGCGGCUUACUGGACUGUAACUGACGUUGAGGCUCGAAAGCGUGGGGAGCAAACAGGAUUAGAUACCCCUGUAACA
rnacentral:rRNA from 1 species